ACUUUUUAAAGGAUAGAAGCAAUCCGCUGGUUUUAGGGGCCAUUAACCCUUGGUGCAACUCCAAGUAAAAGUA
rnacentral:tRNA from 1 species